UACGAAGGGGGCUAGCGUUGUUCGGAAUUACUGGGCGUAAAGGGCGCGUAGGCGGUCCCUCAAGUCAGGCGUGAAAGCCCCGGGCUCAACCUGGGAACCGCGCUUGAGACUGAUGGGCUAGAGUUCGGGAGAGGAUGGUGGAAUUCCCAGUGUAGAGGUGAAAUUCGUAGAUAUUGGGAAGAACACCGAUGGCGAAGGCAGCCAUCUGGACCGACACUGACGCUGAGGCGCGAAAGCGUGGGGAGCAAACAGG
rnacentral:rRNA from 1 species